GAUCCGUGGCUCAGGACGAACGCUGGCGGCGUGCUUAACACAUGCAAGUCGAACGGGGCGCUUAUGAUGGAGAUUUCGGUCAACGGAUUAAGUUGCCUAGUGGCGGACGGGUGAGUAACGCGUGAGUAACCUGCCUUUCAGAGGGGGGACGAACACGUUGGAAACGACUGCUAAUACCGCAUAAUAUAUAUGGACCGCAUGAUCUGUAUAUCAAAGAUUUAUCGCUGAAAGAUGGACUCGCG
rnacentral:rRNA from 1 species